rnacentral:misc_RNA from 1 species
UCGUUAAUCUCUCCUUCAAGACUCAGCGUUUGGCGGGCGAAAUCCUGCAUAUCGGUGGUGGCAUCGUCGUGUUUAAGCUUAUAAAUGGAUGGAUAAAAUGCAACGCGCGGGCGAAAGCUGUCAGAGUUCCUUUCAACCGACGGUUUACAAAAGCGUUUAUGGUAGCUGGACACUUGAACUAUCGGACGUUCGAGAGGUACUUUGUGAUUAUUUCCUUUUAUCUUGUUGCUGUUAAUUGGAGUUUAAAUCAUGUAUGCUCUGAAUUCUUCUACUGUGAAUACUUGCAUUUGUUAAUGAUUUCCUUUUCAGUUGUAUAUCAAUUGGAAUUUGAGACGAUCCCUGGCGAAACUGGUGAAAAACAGCCAGUGGUUUAUGCUAACCAGGAAUAUUUUAAACGACGUCGUUUCCUUCUGAAUCUAUGGACGUGGUUUUAUGAGCUUAAUUAGAGUGGUUUGGAAUUGAGAUUAAAUUAAAUUAAAAAAAUUUGGGAUGGUGUUUUAUUUAACUGCGGCUCAAACGGCAAUUCUAAACAUAAUAUUGGUGUAUAAUUACUUAAAAUAAAUACAAUUAGACAUUUCUAAAUCUUCAUAACUACAGCAGUUAUUUUGCACUUGAAUAAUAAUGUGACAGGUGGUUUUGUAUAGAUCGGGGUUGGUUACUGCAGCGUCUGCAUUUGUGAUUGCAGCAUCAGAUGCGUUUUUACCCAGUGAUUCUUUGUUGAGGGAAAUAUAGUCAAGCAAAAUCUUGAUCUAUUAUACAGUCUUGGAGCUGGGGGACUGCGGCCAUCAUUACUUUUGAUUCACAUCUAACUAACUGAGAUUAAACGCACUCUUCAAGCAUUAUGGGUACUUGGUGUUGUUGGAUCUUUUGCAAUAUACACCACCCUUGCUAGACCAGCUGGCGAGAACUUGAUACAAUAUGUAGUUCAUAAUUUGUUGGUCCUUUGUUUGAAGCAGUCACAGGACUUGUCUUCAAAGAAGGGAAUAAUAGUGUGUUGAUGCAUUCUAUGCAUUCAUUGCCAGUUGUUUCUGAUUUAUUGUUAUGAUUUUACUGGGUAUUUUUGGGGCAGCCCAGCCUUUUAUUUCUCUAAUCUUUUGAUAUGUUAAAUUCUGUGGUUGGCGGUAUGGUUACUCAUGGUUUAAAAUUCGUG